rnacentral:rRNA from 1 species
UACGUAGGCAGCGAGCGUUGUUCGGAGUUACUGGGCGUAAAGAGUGCGUAGGCGGUUUUCUAAGUUUGGUGUGAAAUCUCCCGCUUAACUGGGAGGGUGCGCCGAAGACUGGAAGGCUCAGAGUGUGGGAGAGGUAAGCGGAAUUCCUGGUGUAGCGGUGAAAUGCGUAGAUAUCAGGAGGAACACCAGUGGCGAAGGCGACUUCCUGGCCUGUUCUUGACGCUGAGGCGCGAAAGCUAGGGUAGCAAACGGG